CAAGGCAAAUUAAAAAGCGCAGUAUCUAAACUACGCUAGUUUCUUGCCUGCUGAACUCAUUAUUUGAUUGACCUAUUUUAGGUCUUUUU
rnacentral:ncRNA from 1 species